GUUUUAUUAGCUUAAUUGGUAAAGCAUUCGUUUUGUAAUCGAAAGAGUAUAGGUUCAAAUCCUAUAUAAAACA
rfam:Candida maltosa Xu316 contig5496_C17258, whole genome shotgun sequence.